rnacentral:lncRNA from 1 species
CAUUCAGAAGAAGGUGGACGAGGAAGGCUCUGCUACCCGGCAGGCUUGAGGGGCAUGCAGCACCAUUGAGAUGUGAAGUAUGACUUUUGACCUAAUCUUUCACCUGAAGAUCAGCAAGAUAGGCGCUCAAUAGAUUAUUGUGUUGAGGACAGAGUUCAAGUGAGAGGAUUACUAGUAGGUUCAGAUUGCAGGGUUCGAUCGUCUCAGAUCUGAGAUGCAGGGAUGUA